UCAGUAUGUCUGAAAUGUCCCGGUUCAGC
rnacentral:piRNA from 1 species